UUCCUACGGGAGGCAGCAGUGGGGAAUAUUGCACAAUGGGGGAAACCCUGAUGCAGCGACGCCGCGUGAGUGAAGAAGUAUUUCGGUACGUAAAGCUCUAUCAGCAGGGAAGAAAAUGACGGUACCUGACUAAGAAGCCCCGGCUAACUACGUGCCAGCAGCCGCGGUAAUGCGUAGGGGGCAAGCGUUAUCCGGAUUUACUGGGUGUAAAGGGAGCGUAGACGGACUGUUAAGUCAGCGGUAAAAGCCCGGGGCUCAACCCCGGCGAGCCGUUGAAACUGGCUGUCUUGAGAUGUCGAGAGGUA
rnacentral:rRNA from 1 species